UAUACUUUUGGACUCAAAUUUAGAACCUUUUUUAUCUGAUUUUGGUAUCUCCAGAUUACUUGAUCUUGAGUCAUCUUAUCAUACUACUGUUGGCGGUACUUGUGGAUAUAUAGCUCCAGAACUAGCGUACACCGUGGUCAUAACAGAAAAAUGUGACGUCUACAGCUUUGGAGUGGUGGCACUGGAAGUAAUAAUGGGAAAGCAUCCUGGAGAAUUAUUGACUUACUUGUGGUCUAAAUCUACUCCACGUAUAUUCAUCAACGAUUUGUUAGACUCACG